rnacentral:rRNA from 1 species
UUUGAUCAUGGCUCAUGACGAACGCUGGCGGCGUGCCUAAUACAUGCAAGUCGAGCGAAUCUUGAGGAGCUUGCUCCUUAAGGUUAGCGGCGGACGGGUGAGUAACACGUGGGCAACCUGCCUGUAAGACUGGGAUAACACCGGGAAACCGGUGCUAAUACCGGAUAAUUCUUCACCUCGCGUGGGGUGAAGCUGAAAGUCGGUUUCGGCUGACACUUACAGAUGGGCCCGCGGCGCAUUAGCUAGUUGGUGAGGUAACGGCUCACCAAGGCGACGAUGCGUAGCCGACCUGAGAGGGUGAUCGGCCACACUGGGACUGAGACACGGCCCAGACUCCUACGGGAGGCAGCAGUAGGGAAUCUUCCGCAAUGGACGAAAGUCUGACGGAGCAACGCCGCGUGAGUGAUGAAGGCCUUCGGGUCGUAAAACUCUGUUGUUAGGGAAGAACAAGUACCGGAGUAACUGCCGGUACCUUGACGGUACCUAACCAGAAAGCCACGGCUAACUACGUGCCAGCAGCCGCGGUAAUACGUAGGUGGCAAGCGUUGUCCGGAAUUAUUGGGCGUAAAGCGCGCGCAGGCGGUCCUUUAAGUCUGAUGUG